rnacentral:lncRNA from 1 species
AGUGUUUUAAUGACAAAUUUUGUGCUUUUACAGCCAGACACGACAGUGUACGCGUGGGACGUAAACCAGUUUUUAGGUUUCUCCAAUGAAAUUGUGCCAUACUAUUUUUUAUGUGAAGAUGUGCCUUGACAUUUCCCUUGCUUAGCGAAGCUGCAAUUAUUUCGCUACUACCCAUCUUCUUCACCAUGCACUUCAGGACUAGCGAACCAGAGAAAGUUAUACGGGUGAGUGUGAUGUCUCCUGGUGGAAUGAGCUGUUUUCGGAUUCAGAGGUUGGUCCACUGCAUUGCUAGUUUUACUUUAAAACAAAAAGAAUCUCUUUCGAUAAGGCGAAGACAUGCAGAGAUUUGUGUUCGGAGACAGGGAGCAGCUGCAUUUCUUAAUUGCCUGUUGCAGCGUAAUUAUUGGUCACGUUUACCGCGCCGCCUCCUGACGUUUCGCUGACGGCUACGGGCUGAGGAGGGCGGCGCUGCAGAUCCAAAGGAAUUGUACUUUCUACACUAAUUUCCUUGAGAUGUUCUUCGGUUUCUGUGGCGAUUUCCAAGAGUCGCAUGUCGCACUCUGUAUCAUGGAGCGCUGUGGACAUAUGAACUACUUUGACACCAGGGUAUUUUAGGGAAGGGCGAGUGUUUGUUUCUCUUAAGAAUUUUUUUUUUUUUUAAAUAAUAAUCUGAAUUUUAUGACAUAAGACAGUAUUGGUGGUAUGUCGCUUUAUCAUGUCAAAUUAUUACUAGGUCCGAUGCUUUAUCUCAUGAUCUCGACUAGGCCUAGUAUUUUGUAUUAAAUUGGUCUCCCGGUUCUAACUGCGGAAUCAGCUAUAUCAGUAGAAACUGACGUAUGCUUCAGGGAGAACAAAACCAUUCUUGUGAUACGAGUUUCAGAAGGUAAGGCUUCGUCUUCAUGACCUUUGAUACCUAUUUAAAGAGAGUUAGGAUUUUGUCAUCUGCGAUGAUUUUUUUUACUUUACAAAAGUUGUGAUAUGGUCAGGGGCUGGAGAAAAUUACAUUGCAUCCUCUGGACAUGUUAAUAAUUUGUUUUUAACGAUUAGGAAGCUUUCCACGCACGAACCAUUAACGUAAGUGGGAGAAGUUUUCUUGGUGAGGGAGCAGCGACAGUUACUUGGGGCGGAAGCAGGCGGUAAGUGGUGUCACGGAUCACAGAUAACGGGAAUGGUUCAAGUCCGCGCUCUUCCUGGGACGCUGACAUGCUCUCUACAAAUUGAUUUCACAUUUGAUACAUCAGAUUGGCAUUAUGCAUGAGUGAGGACUUGUGAAUAGGGAGGAGCAACAAGUGAAUGGAAUGUAGUUGUGAAAAUACGACACACUCACUCACUCUUUCAAACUCACCCCCGCCCCCACACAGACCAGUACACUUUUAUUCACCACUAAUUCACUAAUAUUUGUCGGUUAGUCUUUUAUUUUUAUAAGGUAUUUGGUGAGGAUAGCGAAAGGGUUGAUUGCAGGGAAGAAACACAAGUGGACGCUCAUCACGGUGAGUGAUCACAUGCCUAGCGGGCGUUCAUAUAGAAGUCAAGGUCUCUACGGUUAUAUACACCUUAGUAGAAGGCAGACACAGUAGUUAGGGCAAGAAUUUCGCGAUGCGAAUUAGAACCCUUAUCCAGCCCUUGGAAAUGUGCUGAUUGCACCUUUCCUUGAAUUGGCGGGAGAACUUUUUUCUCUAUGAAUAUCGAUGGUGUUAUUUUUAUUAUAAACCUUAUAAUUACAAUAAUGUUAGAGACAUUAGU